GUUUGAUCCUGGCUCAGAACGAACGCUGGCGGCAGGCCUCAAACAUGCAAGUCUAGGGGGUGUAGCAAUACAUCACCGGCGGACGGGUGCGUAACGCGUGGGAAUAUACCUAUUGGUUCGGAACAACUGAGGGAAACUUCAGCUAAUACCGAAUGUGUCCUAACGGAGAAAGAUUUAUCGCCAAUAGAUUAGCCCGCGUUCGAUUAGCUAGUUGGUGGGGUAAUGGCUCACCAAGGCGACGAUCGAUAGCUGUUCUGAGAGGAAGAUCAGCCACACUGGGACUGAGACACGGCCCAGACUCCUACGGGAGGCAGCAGUUGGGAAUCUUGGACAAUGGGGGAAACCCUGAUCCAGCCAUGCCGCGUGAGUGAUGAAGGCCCUAGGGUUGUAAAGCUCUUUUGUGCGGGAAGAUAAUGACGGUACCGCAAGAAUAAGCCCCGGCUAACUUCGUGCCAGCAGCCGCGGUAAUAA
rnacentral:rRNA from 1 species